CUGCCAUUUGAUCCAGGCCAGCCCCAGAGGAAUGCUGCUCCUGCAGAUAUAUUACAGCAGGCUGCCAAACCGGCCUCUGGCAGGAGAGCGCGGCUUGGACCUGAGGAGGCAGAGCUGGGAAGAGGUUUCGGGAGACAGGUGACGAGAGGUGACAUCGUCUCUAGUGUGCAGCUUACAUGACUUCACUGCGUACACAGAGAACCAAAGGUCGAGCUCCAGCCCGAGAGAAGCGAUGCGAUCACCAGAGGCGACAGCAGGAUGAGACACAGGAAGGAGCUGGUCUCCAAACAUCUGGCAGCGCACGGCUUCCAUGACUCGCUCAACCUCAGGAUGAAAAAAAAAGGUCCUCAGAUCUGCAGGGAUCAAAGUGUGCCCUGGGUGCCUCAGCCACCGUGGCCUCCCUCAUCAUAUUCAAAUGGGGUUUCCUGAAAGAAGAGGAGCCAC